GAUUUCUGGUCUAGUGCGCCUGGCCCACGGCCGUUAGGUUUGUGAGUGCCGGUGCGCGCUUGCCAUCCUUUCUAGUCAGCAGCUCUGUCCUUUACUGGUCGGAGUUGUGGGCUAGAUCUAUUACUUUGAAAAAAUUAGAGUGUUUAAAGCAGGCUUGCGCUAUGAAUAUAUUAGCAUGGAAUAAUAAUUUAGGACUUUGUUUCUAUUUUGUUGGUUUCUAGGAAUGAAGUAAUGAUUGAUAGGGACAGUUGGGGGUGCUAGUAUUCAUCGGCCAGAGGUGAAAUUCUUGGAUUCGAUGAAGACUAACUUAUGCGAAAGCAUU
rnacentral:rRNA from 1 species